rnacentral:rRNA from 1 species
UACGUAGGGGCAAGCGUUGUCCGGAAUUACUGGGCGUAAAGGGUGCGUAGGCGGCCUAAUAAGUCAGAUGUGAAAUACCGAGGCUCAACCUCGGAGGUGCAUUUGAAACUGUUGGGCUUGAGUGCAGGAGAGGAAAGUAGAAUUCCUAGUGUAGCGGUGAAAUGCGUAGAGAUUAGGAGGAACACCAGUGGCGAAGGCGACUUUCUGGACUGUAACUGACGCUGAGGCACGGAAGCGUGGGGAGCAAACAGGAUUAGAUACCCUGGUAGU